CAUCAUUCAGGACAAACUGGUCAACACGAUUUUAUUAUUUCCCUGAUUUAUUCAAUAUGUCAAAGGUAUGUAUGCUUAGCUGAUAGGCCCAAAUCCUUGCAUAUCAUUAAAGCCAACUGAAAUUUGUGAGGCUAUUAAUCACUGACAAAUAUGCAAAUUGGAAUGGAAUGAUUGAAAGUGCAGAAUCUUGUCUGCAGUGUUCAUGUGACCUUGACCUCAUUUUCAUGGCUAAGUGGUCAAUGUUGUGUUCUCACGGCAUAGUUGCCAACUGACAUGAUAUUCACGUGUAAUACAUGCGUUUUAAACUGUUUUAUAACAUGACGUGUACACGCUUUUCACCACUUUACAGAGAGGGUAGUACUAGUAAAGGGGGGUAUCUGCGAGGAAGAAAGCGAAAUAAAAGUGCCAUUUUACUAUGAAUGAACAAUCAAAAAUGUCUUGCAUGUUGAUCUUUUUACCGAUUUCACGAAACACAGUGAAUAAAAAACCAUUUUCACGGCUGCACAUCGCCACAUGAAAUAAAAAUGGCAAAACACGUUGCACGAAAAUAACCCUUUAUCACCCUCAUUACAGGCAAUUACACCCUUUUUCGUUGUUUUGAAUAUUUGGGUGGUAGUGAUAUCACACUUGUACCUGGGUAAGUUUAAGUAUAAAUUUGACUUCUCUAGAACAACAGUUUCUUAUCCUGAAUUUCUUGGUAAUAUAUAAGUAUUUUAUUGUAAGCUUGUAUGAUUCUUAUUCUUUUUUUUUUGUAAAAUACAUGAAUAAAUGCUUAGGUGUCUAGAUAAAAGGAUUGAUUGAUUCAUUGGUGUUAAUAUCCACUCUUUUGUGAUAUUUCGUCGCAAUCAGACUUUAUUGGUUAAGCUAGCCAGAGUAUCCGCAGAGAACAAAAGUAGUUAUGGGGUUAACAUAAAUGAGACAGAACCAAAACAGCAAAACAAUCAAAUGACACCGAGAAGACAAUUUCACAUUUUUAUAUUGCUAGCUAGCCAAUGCCAGUUUUCAUCACUUGUGCUUAAUUUCAAGCCAGUAAAGAAAUGAAACUAAAUGUUAGAUCAUUUAUGGAAUUUUUAAUCCAAAUAUUAUUUGAUUUAAAAAAACAACCAACAUUUUUAUUGAAUAACUAAAAAUGUCAAUGAAAUUGCUAUUCUUGCUUCCUUUUCCCCCCUUCAUAUUCUCUGUUCAAAUAAACUAGUAGGGGUGAGCCGAUUUUCUGUAUUUUAUUGUUAAUAGAAACAGAUUUUUUUUUAUUAAAGUUAAAAAAAACAUGCCAUUACAAAUGAUGACUGGUCCUUCCAUAGUAAAAAGAUACCAAGUGGGCAAUAAAAACCACAUGUUAAAGUAAGGAAGACAAAAUCAUGGCCGAAAGAAAAUAAUAUAUGAAAAGACAAACUACAAUCCACAAAACACUACACUGAAAAUCUAAGAUUGAGCAACACAAAACCAAUACAGUUACCAUGGUUACUGGCAAUUAACACUGAACUCUGAGGUGCACUGUGCCACAUCAAAUUCAAUCUUUUCUUUUAAGAACAUUUUCCAUUUCAUGCAGUUAAAGGAUGCAACACCAUGACCUGCAUAGAUUUGUAGAGUGAAAAUCGAUCAAAACUUUCAAAUUUUCAGAAAAACAACUUGAAAAUAUACUUUAUUUGCUCUGCAACAAAAUAGCUUAGCCCCAUGAGGGAACGAAAUUCUGUGUUCCAGAUCUAAAAUUGUUUUUUUCUAGUUAGCAGUUAGUUAAAUAAACCUCAUUAUUUUCUAGUUAGCAGUUAGUUAAAUAAACCUCAUUAUUUUCACUGUUACUGGACUUAUUUUAUAGAACAUUUUUUUCAGGCAUAUUUUAUCACAUUUUUUUAUAACCUACAUAUACAUGUCAUCAUCACAAUAUAAAUCAUGAUUUACAUGCUUUGUUUCAUGUUUUUUUUCUUCUAUCUAUUUUCAGCCAGUUUUGUACUCCUACUUCAGAAGCUCCUGUUCAUGGAGGGUUAGAAUAGGUAAGAAGACUUUUAAAAUAUUCCCAUGAUUAAAGCAAUUUUUACUACAGGGAUAAAGAAAUCAAAUUUCAAAAAGUUUAUCACAUUAAUAGCAUACCUGUCAACCUGUGACGAUGAAAAUGCAGGUCAUGACCUGCAUUGAAGAAUCAAAUCUCAGGUCAUAACGCGUACAAACUUUUUCGAGCUGAAUUUCAAUAUUUAUGGUACAUUUUCUUAUAAUGUAUAUCAAAGAUACCAAAACAUCAAUGCAUUUUCACUUUGUUAAGUCAUUUUAAAUCUUAUUAAAUAGUAUUUCAUUGCACAUUUAAAGAUUUUUAUAAAUUUGUGUAUCUCAGUCUUAUGUGCUUUACUUUUUGAGAAAAAAUACUACAAUCAUCAAACACUAGAAUUUAAUGUAAUUCUUAAAUGUUUGAGACUAUUGACUAUGUAGCUUUUAUCCAUAUUAUUUUUCAUUUAGCAAGGAAAUUAGACUAUGAUAAAAUAUAGUAAUACAGUUAAGGGAAGUAUAAAUGUAAAAAAUAAUUUUCAACUUUUAAAAAAAAUUGUAUAAAGGUAUAAAAAUAAUGAAAAGUUAUUUUUCAAUGUGUAUUUGAAUUUUAUAUUUUUAUGAUUUAAUAUUUUUUCACCCAUAAAAUGUAAAUAUAAGGAAUAAUUUUGAAUGGUGACAAAUAAGGGGAAGUAACUCAGUUCAGUUCAGUUUGUUCAAUGGUGCAAUUUAUUUACGACCUAAAGCUAAGGUAAUUGGUGUUAAUUAACAGUGUGUUUGACACCAAAGCUGUCAAGUGAAGCCAUGUACUUAAUGGGUCACUUAAUUUGACAGUUUACAUAGCUAGAUGAACUUCCUGUUCAUGGAAGAAUUACGAAUUUGCCGGUAUUUCAAAGGAAUAUUACUUAUGAAAUCCAUCUCAAGGCUAAGAAAUACGGGUGAAAUCGGGUCAUUUUCGGAAUUCCCGGGUUAUUUCAAUGACCCGGUGGGUGUUCCGGGUGAUCCCUCAGAAUUGUGAAAAUCUCGGGUCACACCCGCAGAAUACGGGUCAGUUGACAGGUAUGUUAAUUGGAAUUAAAGAUCAACCCACUGACAGGAAUGUGAUAAAAAAGAAUACUUCAAACCAUCUUUUUAUGGUAUCAAAUAUUAUUUAUAAAACAAACAAGUUUAGGAAUUGUCCUUUAUAUCUUUAUGUUCAGCUUGAUAUACAGUUGUUUGUAUUUAUUGACAAAUGUCACAAUUAUAAUUUAUCUUUAUAUCACUGUGUCUGGUAUUUACAAUGUAUAUAAACAUAAUAAGAUGUGAUAUAAUUGCUCAAUGAGACAACUCUCCACUAGAUACCAAACCACAUAGAAAUAAAAAACAAUAGGUCACCACAAGGCCUUCAACAAUGAGCAAACCGGCAUAUAGUUUUUAAAUGAAUGUUCAGUGAAAUACAUUUGUACUCAGAUUUUCAUUUGAUGGUUGUGCAUUGAGAUGAAACAUGUUUUAAUUUCUGUUGUAUAUUGUUUUCCAGCUUUGUUGAUGAAGAAAAUUGAUUUUGAAUACUCAGCUGUACAUUUAGUCAAAGAUGGAGGACAACANNNNNNNNNNNNNNNNNNNNNNNNNA
rnacentral:lncRNA from 1 species